rnacentral:lncRNA from 1 species
GGAAAAUGCUUGGACUUCUGAAAAUAGACGUUUAAAGUGGGAAAGUCGUACGAUACGGGAACGCAUGAGCGGGGUUUCACUGUAUAUAUUUUUGCUUCUUCUUUCUCUCCUCAGCCAGAAGGUUAGUAGGCAGUGUGGCUAUUUUUUAGUAAAUUGUGUGAAUAUGCUAGUUUUUAAUAUUUCCAUCUCUCUUGCCAUUUGUUAUGUUAUCCAUAAAUCUGUUUCUUGGUCUUCCUCUGUGGUGGUUUCCAUUCAUUUUUCCUUCUAUUAUGUUAGUAAACUACUUUGAAUGUCUAAUUAGG